rnacentral:rRNA from 1 species
UACGUAGGUGGCAAGCGUUGUCCGGAUUUACUGGGCGUAAAGAGCGCGCAGGCGGUCGUUCAAGUCGCGUGUGAAAGCCCCCGGCUCAACUGGGGAGGGUCACGGCGAUACUGAUCGACUCGAAGGCAGGAGAGGGAAGUGGAAGUUCCCGGUGUUGAGUGGUGAAAUGCGUAGAUAUCGGGAGGAACACCAGUGGCGAAGGCGACUUCCUGGCCUGUUCUUGACGCUGAGGCGCGAAAGCUAGGGGAG